GUGCUUGCUUUGGCAGCACAUGUACUAAAACUGAAGUGAUACAGAGAAGAGUAGCAUGGCCCCUGUGCAAGGAUUACAUGCAAAUUUGUGAAGUGUUCUGUAUUUCU
ensembl:snRNA U6 U6 spliceosomal RNA